GGUGGCAUCCUGGAGCUCACUGCAGCUCUGCCAGGCAGGCCAGGGCUCUGGCUUUGAUGCCACCCCUUUCAGACACAGUCAGACACAACUUUGCAGCUAAACAAUCAACAACCAAUGACUUUCAGACACACUACCAUGGCCUUGACACAGGAAAUUUGAUGAACAAACUGACACAUUUGUCCUGUAAUUGCAGGUGUUGGCAGCUAAGUUUCAACACACUGAUUUGCUUGUCGAUUAUGAAAUCUUUGAUAGGUCUCAAUGACCAGUUCAACCUUGCAUAUGACCAGGAAUGCUUGACCACAACUUCUAAGAAGCCUUGCAUCUGGCACUUCAGACCAGCGUUCCUAGUGCGAAAAGGCAGCGCGACAGUUCAGCUGGGGAACCGUGUGCAGAGACCCAGCGCCCCGCACUACGAGCUGGAGCCUGAGCAGCAUGCGGAGGCUGCCUAGGGAAAACCCCACCCCUCCGCAUGACGUGAUCCCUGUAAAGCAGCCCCGCCCACAGCCCGUAGGCAGAGCACGUGCUCUAGAGCUGGAGCUUUCACCUCUCCAUUCUUUAAUCAAAGAACAGAGCUUUCUUUUGUUUCCCAACCGAAGAACUUCAUCUGGUACUACUGGUGCCAGUAACAUCAGGCAGAAGAAUCCUUGUUGGGGCCCCACUCUGGAAGGCUAGUAACAGUUUGAGGACUGGUUAAGCAAACUGAAAAUUACCAAACUACUAAGGCUUCAAGGGCUAUAUGUAACAGAUAAUACUUCAAACCAGAACAGUGUUUACAUAUGUUAAAAUGUUGAGUUCCAAAAUAUUCGGUAAUGAUUUUUUUUUUAAACGAGUGGAAUGUGAGAAGCAUAAACUAAUGGAAAAUCAGAUUUGGGGAAUUUUACCUACAUGAAUCACGCACUCAAACUGGUUGCCCUCAAAUGGAUAAAUCUGUCCACUCUGCAAUAAAAUGAUUGAUUUUAAUGGGUUCAGUUGGCUGUUACAUCAGUCUCUGCCAGGCUCCGCUAUCCAUGGGAUUCUCCAGGCAAGAACACUGGAGUAGGUUGCCAUGCCCUCCUCCAGGGGAUCGUCCCAACCAGGAUCCUCCCGAGUCUCUUCCAUCUAACCUGCACUGGCAGGCGGAUUCUUUACCACUAGCGCCACCUGGGAAGCCCAGUGAUAAGAGUAGCAAGGUAGAUAAUCACUUGGCAAGUCUAUUACCAGCUAUGACAGCUGAAUUCACUUUGGGUUUUUACACGAUUUUGAACUUAGAAUUGGAUUUAAGUAGGAAAAAUACUUUACAAUACACUGAGUAGUAGAAAUUCUACGUCAGGCUUUAUCUGUAAAUGUGGCUGGGGUCAAAAAGGCAGCUUGCUGGUUAGGAUACUGGUUACAC
ensembl:lncRNA